rnacentral:rRNA from 1 species
GCGGACACGUACGCAACCUUCCUUUAAGUGGGGAAUAGCCCAGGGAAACUUGGAUUAAUACCCCGUAACACUAUGAGAUGGCAUCAUUUUAUAGUUAAAGCUACGGCGCUUAAAGAUGGGCGUGCGGCUGAUUAGGUAGUUGGCGGAGUAACAGCCCACCAAGCCAACGAUCAGUAACUGGUGUGAGAGCACGACCAGUCACACGGGCACUGAGACACGGGCCCG